AAGAGUUGUAAGAAAAACUCCCUAAACCACCUGUGAAUUUACCUGUUUUCGUUGCUUCGGCAGGCGGCCCCAGGGCGGGGCCAUGGCCUGUAAAGGUGCCUGCCGGAGGGUACAAAAGCCCUAUUUGUUUUAGCAGCCGUCUGAGUCAAGAAAAAACAAAAAAAUAAGUCA
rnacentral:misc_RNA from 1 species